UAGACAGGAUUAUUAAAAAACAAAAAACAAAUAAAAUCUAAAUAAUGGUGCUCUGCACUUUUGCAGGACUGUCUACUUAAGAAGCUGAGAGUGAGUUAGGAACAUUGAUGAAGCCUCUGUUCUGUGAGCUGUCAGCUUCUCCUCACCUGGAUGACUAAAUGGG
rnacentral:lncRNA from 1 species